AGCAGCCGCGGUAAUUCCAGCUCCAAUAGCGUAUAUUAAAGUUGUUGCAGUUAAAAGCUCGUAGUUGAAUUUCGGGAUCAAUAUGUUGGUCGUGCCUCGGUACGUACUAGCAUAUUGGUUUCUCCUUUCUGAAGAACCAUGAUGUCAUUUAUUUGGUGUCGUGGGGAAUCAGGACUGUUACUUUGAAAAAAUUAGAGUGUUUAAAGCAGGCUCACGCUUGAAUACAUUAGCAUGGAAUAAUGAAAUAGGACGUUUGAUUCUAUUUUGUUGGUUUCUAGGAUCGACGUAAUGAUUAAUAGGGAUAGUUGGGGGCAUUAGUAUUCAAUUGUCAGAGGUGAAAAUUCUUGGAUUUAUUGAAGACUAACUACUGCGAAAGCAUUUGCCAAGGAUGUUUUCAUUAAUCAAGAACGAAAGUUAGGGAUCGAAGACGAUCAGAUACCGUCGUAGUCUUAACCAUAAACUAUGCCGACUAGGGAUCGGAUGAUGUUAAUUUUUUAAUGA
rnacentral:misc_RNA from 1 species